AUUGAACGCUGGCGGCAGGCCAAACACAUGCAAGUCGAACGGUAGCACAGAGAGCUUGCUCUCGGGUGACGAGUGGCGGACGGGUGAGUAACGUCUGGGAAACUGCCCGAUGGAGGGGGAUAACUAAUGGAAACGGUAGCUAAUACCGCAUAACGUCGCAAGACCAAAGUGGGGGACCUUCGGGCCUCACACCAUCCGAUGUGCCCAGAUGGGAUUAGCUAGUAGGUGGGGUAAUGGCUCACCUAGGCGACGAUCCCUAGCUGGUCUGAGAGGAUGACCAGCCACACUGGAACUGAGACACGGUCCAGACUCCUACGGGAGGCAGCAGUGGGGAAUAUUGCACAAUGGGCGCAAGCCUGAUGCAGCCAUGCCGCGUGUAUGAAGAAGGCCUUCGGGUUGUAAAGUACUUUCAGCGGGGAGGAAGGCGGUGAAGUUAAUAACUUCACCGAUUGACGUUACCCGCAGAAGAAGCACCGGCUAACUCCGUGCCAGCCGCCGCCGUAA
rnacentral:rRNA from 1 species